rnacentral:rRNA from 1 species
UACGGAGGGUGCAAGCGUUAUCCGGAUUCACUGGGUUAAGGUAGCGUAGCGUCGUGAGUCGUAGUAUGUGAAAGCCCCGGGCUCAACCUGGGAACUGCAUUUGAAACUGGCGGGCUUGAGUAUGGCAGAGGGGGGUGGAAUUCCGCGUGUAGCAGUGAAAUGCGUAGAGAUGCGGAGGAACACCGAUGGCGAAGGCAGCCCCCUGGGCCGAUACUGACGCUCAUGCACGAAAGCGUGGGGAGCAAACAGG